GUUCUAUCAAAAAAGUAAUAGGUAGGUACAGAAAUUUUUUUAGAUAAAGUUUCUCUGCUGUGAUUGUUUAGUUCAUUUUUUACUUUUACUUUUGAAAGAUUUCAAAUCUUUUUGUUACAAAAUAUAGCUAUGGCAGUUCAUUCACUUACAAUUGAUGGGAUUUUAGAGGAGCUACUGAUUCUUGAUGAAAAUCAAAGUGGAGAUGAAUCAGAGGUGGGUUCUGAGUUAGAGAUGAAUAGUAAUAGUGACUUUGAAGUGAACUUUUCAAACAAGGAUUCUGAUUCUAGCAUUAAUGAUGAUAGUGUUGAGUCAAUUCAAAAUGUCAAUAGGCAGUUGAUAACAUGU
rnacentral:lncRNA from 1 species